UUCCCGAUCCCCUCCUCCUCCUCUUCUCCUCUCCACCCAUGAGGCAAGGGGGUUGAGCUCGGGAGAAGGUCAACCCGAAGCCGGCGGUGCUGCGGCCAACCAGCGGCGCCUGCGGCGGCCGCGGUCCGACCGGCAGCAGCCGCGGCCCGGCUGGCCGCUCCUUUCCUCCAUCUCUGGUGGGGAAGAUGGAAGCUCGGGCACCGUCGAGAGGAAGGAAGGCCUCAGUCGCCCCGAUCCUCCCUCUCCAAAGUUCUCGACUACCGGAUCUAGGACCACCUUCACCGGACUUUUUCUUUUCUUCAUCCUUGACCUCUCCUCUUCUCCUCCUUCCUCGGUGGGAGAAAUGGAGCUUGAGGUCACAACUGUGGCCGAUCGUGCCAACGCCGACUCAGUGGCCGAAUACCAUAGGUUGAGUCUUCCCCCUCCCUUCUCUUCUUCCAUUUCUCUUUUGUUUUAUUUCUUUCUACCUCUGUUUUUAUCUCAUGGCUAGAUUAGAUCUAAGCUAAACAGGAUACAAAUCAUGAGGGGGAGAGGGGUUUAAGGUUUUACCUUGCUCCGAGGAGGAGCCGAGCAGCUCUUCCGGUAGCUUGAUCACUUCCCCCGGCGCCUCAGCCUCCUACUCCGACGGCGUCGCUCCCGAUCCGCUUCCUUUGUAAUAGAGAUGGGAGUGAAAGGUGGAGGAAAGGUGAGCGAUGGAGUCCCUCAGUGAGCAGGAGUCUGUGAGUUUUAUAGCCUUCUUCAGGAAGAGAGAGAAGGGAGAUCCGCAAUAUCAAUGACUGUUGGGUGGUUAUAACCUCCUGGCUUCUCUUUCUUCCCGAAGCUACCUUAGUUUAAAUCCCAAGAUGGGCCCACUAUGGUCUAGGUUGACCCAUCUGGCCCCAAUACUUACAUUCUUUCCUCCUUAAAAGAAAUUUCGUCCUAGAAAUUUUACAUAUCUUAAUUUCUAAACAAAUGAAGGUAUUUAAUCUUUUAUCUAACAUUCCACCAAGCUUCCGCUGCGCAAAUUUGAUCGAGCCCGACAUUUCUAAGGCUUAACAAUUAACUUCAACUUUCUCGUUGAAGUGAUAAAAUUCUUAAACAUAACAUCUAUAAGAAUAGCUUUCUUCGGGGAGAUGACAUCACAUAAAGACUGGUUCAAUUCUUAUAAUGUGCAUUAUAGAGAGUUAGAAACCUAAAAGAUACAAAAGGUGUCGAAGAUUUACAAUUAAUUGACACCUGGCCUUCAUGGCAUUAUCUAGGAUGAUAUUUGUCACUAUUUGGUCAUUUGUACCAGCAUUCUACUGAAUCAAUGCAAAAACUGAGCUUCCGAUUUAGUAGAUUCCGAAUCAUUCUUCUUUUUAUUUGGACAGUCCCGUGCGAAAUGUCCAUGUUGACCACAAAUGAAGCAGACUCCCAUCUUCUUAAAACAAGGCCCCCCAUGAGUCUUGCCACAGUAGGUACAGGCCUCAAACCUCUUCUUCUUAUUUGUAUUACUUUCAGGGUUCCGUGGCCUGUCACUUAGACUUUCUAUCAUCUUGGGUCUCUUCUGGUCAUCCCUUUCUUUUUCUGAUCUCUUCAAUUCGGCUUCCAAUUUUAGAGCCCUUUCCAAUACAUCCUGGUAACUUGUGAAAAUCAGAACGGCCAAUCUAGACCUGAUCCCAUAUCUCAGACCCUGUUCAAACCUAUUAGCUUUACUUAUCUCUUCCUCCAUAAACUGAGGACAAAACCUGCCCAAUUCAUUGAACUUGCUGGCAUAUUCCAAUACUGUCAUAUUCUCGGUCUGUUUCAGGGCCAAAAAUUCAUUUUGCUUCACCAAUCUCAUUGACUGAGGGAAGUACUGAUUGUAAAAUUUAUCUUUGAAUUCCUCCCAUGUCAGUUGUUCACCAUUUCCUUGAACAGCAGCCUUCAUAGCUAUCCACCAGAACUUGGCGUUUCCUCUGAGCAUAGGAACCGCCAAUUUGACCUUGACCUCCUCGGGAAAUUGUAGGGCAUCAUACAUUUCCUCUAUCUCCCGAAUCCAAGGCUCCGCAGCCAAGUAAUCAGCACCUCCCUCAAACAUUGGAGGAUGCAGCCUCCGAAAUUUCUCAUAAUAGGUAUCGGUGGACGAUACAGGUCGGCAGGAGAGCUGCGUCUGCUGCUGCUGCUGAAGAAGCUGUGCCACUACCUGACAUACCCCAGCAAGAUCUGCCUGAGUGGCUACAGCAUUUGCAGCUGGCCUAGCUGGCAUGUUGGUAGCUUCUUGAGAUGAUGCUUUUACUCCUUUUCUUUUAUAGUUAGCCAGAACUUCGUUCUCGCUAUCACUCAUCGUCACCUAUCAAAAUAUAGUAUUAAUCAUUAUUCAUUUCAUCACAUUAUAUAUAUAUAUGUAAUUAAAUGUAUAUAUAUAUAUACAAAUUUUCUUUUAUCAUUAUUAUUAUUAUUUAUUUAUUAUACAAAAUAUAAUUAUUGUUCUUACUGUGACUCCAAUUAUGUGUAAGCUAAUUUAGCUGCCCAUUCCCAUGAUUAAUUUUAAAAAUUUUUAAAUUAUGGUUAAAUUUAUGCUCUGAUACCAAAUGUCACGCCCCCGCCUCUGAGAGGCACGUGAGGCACCUAGUGCCCACGUGGGGGCCACAUGAGGGAGGAACACGGGGCUCCCCUGCCAGAUAUUGUCCGGUUCUGGGGCUUCACGCAAGCGUCCUUCACCCCUCCCCGGUUUUGUUUUCCACCCAAAACGCGUCUGCAGGAUUUGGAGACACUCGCCUCAUAUGCCCAGGCUCUGGAACGAGUCUUUCCGAUGUGGGACUAUUGGGCCUCACACCCUUCCCACCAUCGGACAAGAGCCGUCCUCGACUCUGAUACCACAAAUGUCACGCCCCGAAUUCGGUUCAUGACACGGCCGUGUUAUUGCCAAGUUAAGCAUACAAUAACACGCAGCCACUUUAAAACUUCAAAUUGUAAACAACUAUAUUCAUGAAAGUCAUUAAAUGUUCAUGUAUUAAAAUCCAUACAAAGCUUCUAAAAAUAAUAUCAACAUUUAACAUUCGUCUUUCCCAUAACCCUGAAGCAUGUUACGCUCCUUGUUCCUAGCAUCUCCUAUUCAUCUGUGAGAACAUAAAUAAAUGGGUAUGAGCUAUAAAGCUCAGUAAGUAACCUUGCAUAAUCUUAUCUGAUCAAGCAUAAUAUUUUUCAUACUAGUGCAUUAAUUUAAGAAACUAACAGUUGUAACAAAGUAAGCAUUUCAUAUAACAAACCAGUCAUAAAAACUAUUCAUAUCCAUUUAUACAACUUCAUAAACAUGGCUAUGCAUCAUAAACUUUUGUCAUUAUCCCAUGCUUUGAAAUCCGUACUCAUCAUUAUUCAAGGAAGGCCUCAGUCGCCCCGAUCCUCCCUCUCCAAAGUUCUCGACUACCGGAUCUAGGACCACCUUCACCGGACUUUUUCUUUUCUUCAUCCUUGACCUCUCCUCUUCUCCUCCUUCCUCGGUGGGAGAAAUGGAGCUUGAGGUCACAACUGUGGCCGAUCAUGCCAACGCCGACUCAGCGGCCGAACACCAUAGGUUGAGUCUUCCCCCUCCCUUCUCUUCUUCCAUUUCUCUUUUGUUUUAUUUCUUUCUACCUCUAUUUUUAUCUCGUGGCUAGAUUAGAUCUAAGCUAAACAGGAUACAAAUCAUGAGGGGGAGAAGGGUUUAAGGUUUUACCUUGCUCCGAGGAGGAGCAAAGCAGCUCUUCCGGUAGCUUGAUCACUUCCCCUGGCGCCUCAGCCUCCUACUCCGACGGCAUCACUCCCGAUCCGCUUCCUUUGUAACAGAGAUGGGAGUGAAAGGUGGAGGAAAGGUAAGCGAUGGAGUCCCUCAGUGAACAGGAGUCUGUGGGUUUUAUAGCCUUCUUCAGGAAGAGAGAGAAGGGAGAUCCGCAGUAUCAGUGACUGUUGGGUGGUUAUAACCACCUGGCUUCUCUUUCUCCCCGAUAGGGCUGGAAGUGGG
rnacentral:lncRNA from 1 species